rnacentral:tRNA from 1 species
AGGGUUAUAGCUCAGUGGUAAAGUGCUUGCCUGAUAUGCAGGAAACCCCGAGUUUAAUCCUA